UGCGUGAAGUCGGAAUCGCUAGUAAUCGCGGAUCAGCAUGCCGCGGUGAAUACGUUCCCGGGCCUUGUACACACCGCCCGUCACACCAUGAGAGUCGGGAACACCCGAAGUCCGUAGCCUAACUUUAACGAGGGGGCGCGGCCGAAGGUGGGUUCGAUAAUUGGGGUGAAGUCGUAACAAGGUAGC
rnacentral:rRNA from 1 species